CGGGGUGCAGCAGGCGCGAAAACUCUACAAUGCAGGCAACUGCGAUAGGGGAACAUCGGGUGGCACCCACCAUGGGUGUCUGUCCAGCCGUCUAAAAAAACGGCUGUUAGCAAGGGCCGGGCAAGACCGGUGCCAGCCGCCGCGGUAAUACCGGCGGCUCGAGUGGUGGCCGAUAUUAUUGAGUCUAAAGGGUCCGUAGCCGGCUUUGCAAGUCCCCUGGGAAAUCCAGCGGCUUAACCGUUGGGCUUUCAUGGGAUACUACAUUGCUUGGGACUGGGAGAGGUAGGAGGUACUCAGGGGGUAGGGGUGAAAUCCUGUAAUCCUCUGGGGACCACCGGUGGCGAAGGCGUCCUACCAGAACAGGUCCGACGGUGAGGGACGAAAGCUAGGGGCACGAACCGGAUUAGAUACCCGGGUAGUCCUAGCCGUAAACGAUGCUCGCUAGGUGUCACGGCAGUCGUGAAUUGUCGUGGUGCCGUAGGGAAGCCGUGAAGCGAGCCACUUGGGAAGUACGACCGCAAGGUUGAAACUUAAAGGAAUUGGCGGGGGAGCAC
rnacentral:rRNA from 1 species